AAACCAUGGUUUGGAUACUUAUGCAAAUAGUCUUUAAACCUCUACCAUACUUCAAAUAGUUGUUCCAUCGGUAGUUGCUUGAAGUUAUAAAUCUUGUCACUAAUUUC